rnacentral:snoRNA from 1 species
GUUGCUUCACGACUGGAAGAAUGGCCUGAUAAUAUAAUUGUUUGGUCAUUCUGUAGAGAGAGCAUAGAUUGAUUUUGGCCAGAAUUAAACAGCAUGGCGCCUUGCUACCCACGUCAGUGUUACCUGUCUCCUGGCACAUCU